rnacentral:rRNA from 1 species
UUACGAGACUGCCGGUAGUUAAACCGGAGGAAGGUGGGGAUGACGUCAAGUCCUCAUGGCCUUUAUGCCCAGGGCUACACACGUGCUACAAUGGGUGGUACAAAGAGAUGCAAUCUCGCAAGAGCAAGCAAACCUCAAAAAGCCAUCCUCAGUUCGGAUUGGAGUCUGCAACUCGACUCCAUGAAGUCGGAAUCGCUAGUAAUCGCGGAUCAGCACGCCGCGGUGAAUACGUUCCCGGGCCUU